AUACUUACCUGGACGGGGUGAAUGGGAGACCAACAAGGUCCAUGGCCUAGGUUGGUGACCUCCAUUGCACUUUGGACGGGUGCCUGCCUAAGGUCGGUCCAAGUGGCCGAGCCUACGUUAUAAUUUGUUGCAGCAGGGGCCUGUGUUCGCGCGGCCCCUAC
rfam:Capsicum annuum cultivar Zunla-1 chromosome 5, whole genome shotgun sequence